CUGAAACUACAUUAGAAUGCUCCUAUUUAUCUCUUUAGAGACAGAUUACCUUCCAUAGUGAAGUCAGUUUAGUUUUUUUUUCCUCAAUAGAUUUUCCUGUGCAAUGAGGACUUAGAACAUACCUUGGCGAAGCAUUUCUUGUCCUGAGUAAGCAGCACAGCUCUACCUGUGCCUGGUGUGCAGAUCCGCCCCAUCUCCAUGAGGCAGGCUGGAUAGAGAUCCCAGUUCUUCUUCUUCGACCCUAUCCUUUUUCCAAAAGGCAUGUCUGUCACAAUGACGUCCACAGAGCCAGUCCGCAAAGGGAGAUUGCAAAUAUCCCACUGAAUGAUGUCUAAGGGUGCGCCCAAGGAAGCACUGCUACAAAAGCAAAGACAUCUCAGACAUGGUUUACUGAAACUAUUUUUACAUUGAAGAACUCUAUAAUAGUAACA
rnacentral:lncRNA from 1 species